UACGUAGGGUGCAAGCGUUAAUCGGAAUUACUGGGCGUAAAGCGUGCGCAGGCGGUUUUGUAAGUCUGUCGUGAAAUCCCCGGGCUCAAACUGGGAAUUGCGAUGGAGACUGCAAGGCUAGAAUCUGGCAGAGGGGGGUAGAAUUCCACGUGUAGCAGUGAAAUGCGUAGAGAUGUGGAGGAACACCGAUGGCGAAGGCAGCCCCCUGGGUCAAGAUUGACGCUCAUGCACGAAAGCGUGGGGAGCAAACGAGG
rnacentral:rRNA from 1 species